rnacentral:lncRNA from 1 species
GCAGGGAAAGUCGCUGGCGGGCAAGCGCCUUACGGGCCUGAUGCAGUCCUCCUGACCGCCCCGAUCCCAGGCUCAGGGCCCGGGCCCACAGAGCACCCGGGCAGGCGACGCUCCACAUCCAACGACAGAGCUUCCUUGCGGGGAGAUUUGGUCACUGUGAAGGAGAAAGAGUGAGGGCCAUGGAGGGCACUGGUGGGAAGCUGCGGUGGGUGAAUGGGGAGACCAGAGAGAAAGAAUCCACGGUGCUGGGCCAGCUGGGAGAGGCCCUGCUUAUAGCCUCUCUCUUGUACAGCCACACACCAAUGCUCAUUCUCAACAAGGGUCCAUUUCUAACUGGGUCAGAGAAUGUCUCAUGGGGUUCCUGUCUGACUAUCUAUCACUCAAGAUGUUGUUGAACUCACCUGUCCAGUCGUCUGGGGAAUCCAGCAAACUUCAGAGGGACCCUGGGCACACAGUAUUAAGCAUCACCUCCCUACCACUCUCUCUAAAGCAUUGGCAGUGCUCACUGCCAUCUGUUCCCCCUCCGCCACCCCACUGGUAUACCGGGUGGGUGACGGACGCUGCUUUCACACAAAAUGUCACAUCUUCAGUCCUAAUGACCGUUCAAGUUCUCUCCACCCUCUGUGAGACCACAUUUUAAAUAAGUCUCCACGGGUGUGGUGGCCAGCCCCAGUUCCCAUCAAAUGUCCAAAGGUCCUUGGCUUGAAGAGGCACCAGUACAGAUAGUGGAGUGUGUUGUUCAGCCACUGAAAGUUCGGGUGACAAUCUUUUAAAAAUAUUACUACUUCCUGUCUUCUGAUUUUUGCCCCUUGCACCUUGACUUGUUCCCUUGUGUUUGGCUCGCAAUAAACAUGGCCAUGAACUCAGGGGCCAUUAGGCUUCAUCCC